UUAAGCGACUAAGCGUACACGGUGGAUGCCCUGGCAGUCAGAGGCGAUGAAGGACGUGCUAAUCUGCGAAAAGCGUCGGUAAGGUGAUAUGAACCGUUAUAACCGGCGAUGUCCGAAUGGGGAAACCCAGUGUGAUUCGUCACACUAUCGUUAACUGAAUACAUAGGUUAACGAGGCGAACCGGGGGAACUGAAACAUCUAAGUACCCCGAGGAAAAGAAAUCAACCGAGAUUCCCCCAGUAGCGGCGAGCGAACGGGGAGCAGCCCAGAGUCUGAAUCAGCUUGUGUGUUAGUGGAACGGUCUGGAAAGUCCGACGGUACAGGGUGAUAGUCCCGUACACCAAAAUGCACAGGCUGUGAACUCGAAGAGUAGGGCGGGACACGUGGUAUCCUGUCUGAAUAUGGGGGGACCAUCCUCCAAGGCUAAAUACUCCUGACUGACCGAUAGUGAACCAGUACCGUGAGGGAAAGGCGAAAAGAACCCCGGCGAGGGGAGUGAAAAAGAACCUGAAACCGUGUACGUACAAGCAGUGGGAGCACCUUCGGGUGUGACUGCGUACCUUUUGUAUAAUGGGUCAGCGACUUAUAUUCUGUAGCAAGGUUAACCGUAUAGGGGAGCCGCAGGGAAACCGAGUCUUAACUGGGCGUUAAGUUGCAGGGUAUAGACCCGAAACCCGGUGAUCUAGCCAUGGGCAGGUUGAAGGUUGGGUAACACUAACUGGAGGACCGAACCGACUAAUGUUGAAAAAUUAGCGGAUGACUUGUGGCUGGGGGUGAAAGGCCAAUCAAACCGGGAGAUAGCUGGUUCUCCCCGAAAGCUAUUUAGGUAGCGCCUCGUGAAUUCAUCUUCGGGGGUAGAGCACUGUUUCGGCUAGGGGGUCAUCCCGACUUACCAACCCGAUGCAAACUACGAAUACCGAAGAAUGUUAUCACGGGAGACACACGGCGGGUGCUAACGUCCGUCGUGAAGAGGGAAACAACCCAGACCGCCAGCUAAGGUCCCAAAGUCAUGGUUAAGUGGGAAACGAUGUGGGAAGGCACAGACAGCCAGGAUGUUGGCUUAGAAGCAGCCAUCAUUUAAAGAAAGCGUAAUAGCUCACUGGUCGAGUCGGCCUGCGCGGAAGAUGUAACGGGGCUAAACCAUGCACCGAAGCUGCGGCAGCGACACUAUGUGUUGUUGGGUAGGGGAGCGUUCUGUAAGCCUGCGAAGGUGUGCUGUGAGGCAUGCUGGAGGUAUCAGAAGUGCGAAUGCUGACAUAAGUAACGAUAAAGCGGGUGAAAAGCCCGCUCGCCGGAAGACCAAGGGUUCCUGUCCAACGUUAAUCGGGGCAGGGUGAGUCGACCCCUAAGGCGAGGCCGAAAGGCGUAGUCGAUGGGAAACAGGUUAAUAUUCCUGUACUUGGUGUUACUGCGAAGGGGGGACGGAGAAGGCUAUGUUAGCCGGGCGACGGUUGUCCCGGUUUAAGCAUGUAGGCUGGUUGUCCAGGCAAAUCCGGAUAAUCAAGGCUGAGGUGUGAUGACGAGGCACUACGGUGCUGAAGUAACAAAUGCCCUGCUUCCAGGAAAAGCCUCUAAGCAUCAGGUAACAUCAAAUCGUACCCCAAACCGACACAGGUGGUCAGGUAGAGAAUACCAAGGCGCUUGAGAGAACUCGGGUGAAGGAACUAGGCAAAAUGGUGCCGUAACUUCGGGAGAAGGCACGCUGGUGUGUAGGUGAAGUCCCUGCGGAUGGAGCUGAGACCAGUCGAAGAUACCAGCUGGCUGCAACUGUUUAUUAAAAACACAGCACUGUGCAAACACGAAAGUGGACGUAUACGGUGUGACGCCUGCCCGGUGCCGGAAGGUUAAUUGAUGGGGUUAUCCGUAAGGAGAAGCUCUUGAUCGAAGCCCCGGUAAACGGCGGCCGUAACUAUAACGGUCCUAAGGUAGCGAAAUUCCUUGUCGGGUAAGUUCCGACCUGCACGAAUGGCGUAAUGAUGGCCAGGCUGUCUCCACCCGAGACUCAGUGAAAUUGAACUCGCUGUGAAGAUGCAGUGUACCCGCGGCAAGACGGAAAGACCCCGUGAACCUUUACUAUAGCUUGACACUGAACAUUGAGCCUUGAUGUGUAGGAUAGGUGGGAGGCUUUGAAGCGUGGACGCCAGUCUGCGUGGAGCCAACCUUGAAAUACCACCCUUUAAUGUUUGAUGUUCUAACGUUGGCCCCUUACCGGGGUUGCGGACAGUGUCUGGUGGGUAGUUUGACUGGGGCGGUCUCCUCCCAAAGCGUAACGGAGGAGCACGAAGGUUAGCUAAUCCUGGUCGGACAUCAGGAGGUUAGUGCAAUGGCAUAAGCUAGCUUGACUGCGAGCGUGACGGCGCGAGCAGGUGCGAAAGCAGGUCAUAGUGAUCCGGUGGUUCUGAAUGGAAGGGCCAUCGCUCAACGGAUAAAAGGUACUCCGGGGAUAACAGGCUGAUACCGCCCAAGAGUUCAUAUCGACGGCGGUGUUUGGCACCUCGAUGUCGGCUCAUCACAUCCUGGGGCUGAAGUAGGUCCCAAGGGUAUGGCUGUUCGCCAUUUAAAGUGGUACGCGAGCUGGGUUUAGAACGUCGUGAGACAGUUCGGUCCCUAUCUGCCGUGGGCGCUGGAGAAUUGAGGGGGGCUGCUCCUAGUACGAGAGGACCGGAGUGGACGCAUCACUGGUGUUCGGGUUGUCAUGCCAAUGGCACUGCCCGGUAGCUAAAUGCGGAAGAGAUAAGUGCUGAAAGCAUCUAAGCACGAAACUUGCCCCGAGAUGAGUUCUCCCUGAGACUUUAAGUCUCCUGAAGGAACGUUGAAGACGACGACGUUGAUAGGCCGGGUGUGUAAGCGCAGCGAUGCGUUGAGCUAA
rnacentral:rRNA from 1 species